rnacentral:tRNA from 1 species
ACCUGGAUGGUCCAAACAGUUAAGGUACUCAGCUGCUAACUGAAAGGCUGGAGGUUCAAGUCCACCUAUAGGUG